rnacentral:rRNA from 1 species
UGGCGGCGUGCUUAACACAUGCAAGUCGAACGUAAGGCCUUCGGGUACACGAGUGGCGAACGGGUGAGUAACACGUGGGUGAUCUGCCCUGCACUUUGGGAUAAGCCUGGGAAACUGGGUCUAAUACCGAAUAGGACUCCGGACUGCAUGGUCUGGGGUGGAAAGCUUUUGCGGUGUGGGAUGGGCCCGCGGCCUAUCAGCUUGUUGGUGGGGUGAUGGCCUACCAAGGCGACGACGGGUAGCCGGCCUGAGAGGGUGACCGGCCACACUGGGACUGAGAUACGGCCCAGACUCCUACGGGAGGCAGCAGUGGGGAAUAUUGCACAAUGGGCGCAAGCCUGAUGCAGCGACGCCGCGUGAGGGAUGACGGCCUUCGGGUUGUAAACCUCUUUCAGCACAGACGAAGCGCAAGUGACGGUAUGUGCAGAAGAAGGACCGGCCAACUACGUG